rnacentral:rRNA from 1 species
UACGUAGGGAGCGAGCGUUGUCCGGAAUCAUUGGGCGUAAAGCGCGCGUAGGUGGCUUCGUAAGUCCGUUGUGAAAGUCAAAGGCUCAACCUUUGAAAGCCGAUGGAUACUGCGGAGCUAGAGUACGGAAGAGGCGAGUGGAAUUCCUGGUGUAGCGGUGAAAUGCGCAGAUAUCGGGAGGAACACCGGUGGCGAAGGCGGUUCUCUGGGCCUUACCUGACGCUGAGGAGCGAAAGCGUGGGGAGCGAACAGG